ensembl:misc_RNA Y_RNA Y RNA
GACUAGUUUCUGUGCAGUGGUGUUUAUAACCAAUUGAUCACAACCAGUACAGAUUUCUUUAUUCCUUUUCCACUCCCACUGGUUCACUUAGCUAGCCUUUC